rnacentral:rRNA from 1 species
GACGAACGCUGGCGGCGUGCUUAACACAUGCAAGUCGAACGGAAAGGCCCUGCUUGCAGGGUACUCGAGUGGCGAACGGGUGAGUAACACGUGGGUGAUCUGCCCUGCACUUCGGGAUAAGCCUGGGCAACUGGGUCUAAUACCUGCUAGGUGCCAUAUUUAGUGUGAUGGUUGGAAAGUUUUUUCGGUGUAUGAUGAGCUUGCGGGCUAUCAGCUUGUUGGGGGGGUAAUGGGCUACCAAGGCGGCUACGGGUAGCCGGCCUGCGAGGGUGGACGGCCACAUUGGGACUGAGAGACGGCCCAGACUCCUACGGGAGGCAGCAGUGGGGAAUAUUGCACAAUGGGCGCAAGCCUGAUGCAGCGACGCCGCGUGGGGGAUGACGGCCUUCGGGUUGUAAACUCCUUUCGCUAGGGACGAAGCUUUUUGUGACGGUACCUAGACAAGAAGCACCGGCUAACUACGUG